GGCCAAGUAGCUCAGUCGGUAGAGCAGAGGACUGAAAAUCCUUGUGUCGCUGGUUCGAUUCCAGUUCUGGCCA
rnacentral:tRNA from 1 species